rnacentral:lncRNA from 1 species
CCAAGGAAACAUCAUCUCGUCUCAGAGCACUAUUCCCAGCACUCUAAGCCUGAGCUCUCUUCUCUCUAUAUUCUUUGUUUUAUUAUCCCCAUUCUUUCUUUCAUCCCCAAUUGUAAGCCCUCAAUGGUCAUGAGUGGCUAAUCCCCUAGCUAGGGCCUGACAGGCCUAAAAAGCCAACGAUAUACGAUAAGCUUCAAGAGUUAUCAAUGCAAAAGGA